rnacentral:rRNA from 1 species
CUGGCGGCGUGCCUAAUACAUGCAAGUCGAGCGGUAACAGGGCUUCACGUUCCUUGACACACCUGACUAGAGUGUAGGUGUUGAUUCGAGGGAACCGUGAAGCUGCUGACGAGCGGCGGACGGCUGAGUAACGCGUGGGAACAUACCCCAAACUGAGGGAUAACUAGUCGAAAGAUUAGCUAAUACCGCAUGUGAUCUUCGGAUUAAAGCUUUCGAGCGGUUUGGGAAUGGCCUGCGUACGAUUAGAUAGUUGGCGGGGUAAUAGCCCACCAAGUCGACGACCGUUAGAUGGUUUGAGAGGAUGAUCAUCCAGACUAGGACUGAGACACGGCCUAGACUCCUACGGGAGGCAGCAGUAGGGAAUCUUUCACAAUGGGCGAAAGCCUGAUGGGAGCAACGCCGCGUGCAGGAUGACGGCCUUCGGGUUGUAAACUGCUUUUAUAAGCGAGAAAUAUGAUGGUAACUUAUGAAUAAGGAUCGGCUAACUACGUGCCAGCCGCCGC